rnacentral:tRNA from 1 species
CAAAGAGUAGUUUAGCUCAAGAAUCUUAGCUUUGGGAGUUAUGGGUGGGAGUUAAAAUCUCCUCUCUUUGA